GUGGAUUAGAUACCCUAGUAGUCCUAGCCGUAAACGAUGGAUACUAGGCGUUGCGAGUAUCGACCCUCGCAGUGCCGGAGCCAACGCGUUAAGUAUCCCGCCUGGGGAGUACGCACGCAAGUGUGAAACUCAAAGGAAUUGACGGGGGCCCGCACAAGCGGUGGAGUAUGUGGUUUAAUUCGAUGCAACGCGAAGAACCUUACCAAGACUUGACAUGUCGCGAAUCCUCUUGAAAGGGAGGAGUGCCUUAGGGAGCGCGAACACAGGUGGUGCACGGUCGUCGUCAGCA
rnacentral:rRNA from 1 species